AUCGAACGCUGGCGGCAUGCUUUACACAUGCAAGUCGAACGGUAACAGGCCUUCGGGCGCUGACGAGUGGCGAACGGGUGAGUAACGCAUCGGAACGUGCCCAGUCGUGGGGGAUAACGCAGCGAAAGCUGUGCUAAUACCGCAUACGAUCUAUGGAUGAAAGCGGGGGACCGUAAGGCCUCGCGCGAUUGGAGCGGCCGAUGUCAGAUUAGGUAGUUGGUGGGGUAAAGGCUCACCAAGCCAACGAUCUGUAGCUGGUCUGAGAGGACGACCAGCCACACUGGAACUGAGACACGGUCCAGACUCCUACGGGAGGCAGCAGUGGGGAAUUUUGGACAAUGGGCGCAAGCCUGAUCCAGCAAUGCCGCGUGCAGGAAGAAGGCCUUCGGGUUGUAAACUGCUUUUGUACGGAACGAAACGGCGAGCUCUAAUACAGUUUGCUAAUGACGGUACCGUAAGAAUAAGCACCGGCUAACUACGUGCCAGCCGCCGCGGUAAAAC
rnacentral:rRNA from 1 species